GUCAAACUAAGGAAAAUUCAUUCUCUUACAAUUCUUUAAGCCUAUUAAAAAUAAGAUUUUUUAUGUUUGUGAAUUUAACAUUUCAUUACUUCCUAAACUACUCAGAGUUAAAUAAAACUAAAAAUGUCAAGAAAGGCUGAAUACAAUUUGUUAUAAGUUCCAUACAUUCUGUUUCUUUUUUAAAAAAAGAUUAUCAAGUAGGCAGUUACACUAUAAAAAUAUUCAUUUUUUCCAACCUGCCCUUUGAUGAGCACCAUAUUAACUAUUUAUAGAAUAUAAAUGGUAUUUUUAAUGCAAUCCUUAUAACGCUAUACUUAUCCAAGCUACAGAAGACUAGAGAAAUAGAAACCAUGUUAGCAUGUGAUUCGGCAGUUGUGCUUUCCAAUAUUGGCCAGAAGCUAAACAGUUAAAAUGUGAAAGAGGGCCACAGGUGCCAGGAGAGGACCUUUAAGGGGCCUGAGUGUCAGUGGAUUGAAAAGCAGAUGGACUCUG
rnacentral:lncRNA from 1 species